CUCAAAAUUGGCAGAACAUUGCAAAAGAAUUAGAAUCUUUUAACCCAUA
rnacentral:tRNA from 1 species